GACGAACGCUGGCGGCGUGCCUAAUACAUGCAAGUCGUCCGAAGUGGCGCACGGGUGAGUAAUAUAUAGCUAAUCUGCCCCUUUCUGGAGGACAACCGUUAGAAAUGACUGCUAAUACUCCAUAGCAAGGGAUGAGACUAUAUCGUAUCAGCUAGUCUGUGGGGUAACGGCCUACCGAGGCUAUGACGAGUAGCUGGUCUGAGAGGAUGAUCAGUCAGGUUGGAACGGGGAGACGGACCAAAAUCCUAAGGGUGGCAAGAGGAGGGGAGAUUGCGCAAUGGGGGAAACACUGACGCAGCAACGCCGCGUGGAGAAUGAUUAUUUUCAGAGCGUAAACUCAUUUUGUUAGGGAAGCGGUACAUAACGAGUGGGCGCAGGCUAACUCCGUGCCAGAGGCCGCGGAAAUAC
rnacentral:rRNA from 1 species